rnacentral:lncRNA from 1 species
AUUACUCAAAUACAUAACUCUCAAAAGUAUUCAAGAUAGCAUCGAAGCAUCAACAACAAGCCGUCAUCAUCAACACUUUCUGACCAAUCUUCAGCAGCUAAAGAAAAAAGUUAUUCAAGCACAUGGUUCCAAAAUCACUCCUCCAAGCAAAAGACAAAAUCAUCCUCAUUCUUUCCAACUCUGCCUCUGGUUUUUCUGAUAAAAAGAAUAUCAAGGACAGAGUCUCAAAAGCAAUAAGCACUUUUUACUGUCCCAACAAACUUUAGCAAACUUCACCCCCAAGUUCUCCAACAUCAAGGAUGAAGCCUCAAAAGUAGCAAAUACUUUUCAACAAAUUUUGCUUUCAAGUCAGACAUCUUCUAACAAACUUCACCUUUAAAUUACUUCAUCUUCAAGUUACUUCAUCGAUAAGUUACUUCAUGGCCAAGUCACUUCAUCCCCAAGAAAGAAGCCUUCUAUAAGAAGACCCCGGGAGCCAGCAUUGAAGAACAAGCCUUGGUAAGAGGUAUCAUAGAAGCCUCAACCAAGCAACAAUACAAGCCAGUGAGGGAGUGUUCUACUAAAAACCUCUUCUGUCUUGUAACCCCAAAUCUUCUUCAAAAUCCUUUGUAUCCAAAACCUUUCCCAAUGUAGUCCAUUGUGGAAAAACCCUUUAGGUUAGGAUUCAAAAUAGUUUAGGAUCAAAAAUCUUUGUUUCAAGCUUGUAUCCCAAAAGGCUUCAGUCGAAGAAAAUGAAGCAAGCUCCCUGAAGCCAUCCUAUGUUCAAAAUCUUUGUAUCCAAAGCCUCUAAUCGUGUAAGUUUCAAAAGUUAUUCAAAUGAAG